rnacentral:lncRNA from 1 species
UCAGAUCAGACACUCCCUACCUUUCUUCCCCCUGGUAAUACCAAGGGAGGAGAAUGUAAGCCCCUCAUUCUCCCAAUGGAACAGCAUGGACCAGGACCCCACCAUAAAGGGAAACCUACAUGGCAAGAUCAGAAAAGGUCCACGAGCACCUUCAACCCUCCAACACAGAGCUGAAGGCACUAAUUCUAAAGCUGGGAGUUCCAAAACAAAGGCAAUCUCCUACAACAAGGGGAGUUAAUAGAGUUUAGAGGGCCUGGGUGAGAAAUGCUUAAGGAGCAUGAAAAUGUGCGGGAUAAGCCUAAGGUUAGCCUCAAAUCCAAACUCAGGAGACUUAGUUGUAAGACAGCCCAGUUAUGAUACAAGAAGACAAACAUGUCAUUUCUAUACAAGUGAACUUGGAGGCCAAUCUUGUGAAAGGUAAGGCCAAAUGCCUGAAAAGGAAGUCCCUACCACACUCCAAACUAUUAAUGAAUUUCAUCCUUUGGAAUGCUAGGGGUGCCAACAGUUGUAAUCUUAGGAGGCACUGCACUGAGAUGGUCAAAAUGCACAAGCCUGCUAUGCUAGUCCUCCUAGAAACUAGGAUGAUUAAGCAUAAGAACCUGAUGAACUGGGGUUCUCCGGGAAAAGCCAAAACCCAGCUAUUGGCCUGUCUAGGGGAAUAGUCAUCAUGUGGAAGGACUCAAAAUUGAUAAAGUCUCAGCCACAUCUCAGGGCAUUAAUGUCAUGGUCAUGGUAAUCCCCUCUUCCAACUCUUGGCUUUUAACUAUUGUUAUGAUAGCAACAAU